GUCUUCUUUCAGAUGAAACAUUCUCCUUUCCUGGCAUUGCUUAAACAUGAAAGAAUUGCUAUUCAAACAUUCAAGGGACAAGGAGAGAAUUGCAACCAAGGAGAAGUCGUUGAAUAAUCAGUCACUUACCAGCUCUCACCCGGUGAUGGUGAGUCUACAAUACUAAUUCAGAAUACAGAGGAAAGAGCUUGAAGAAGGACUGAUAUAAGCCAGGUAUGAGGAACUGAGUACUGUACCAGCACACAGGACGAGAUUGCCUUGUGUCAGAAGAGGUCUCUGUCCAAACAGACAAGACGUUGAGUGGGUGUGAUUUGUUGGAGGCAAUAUAGCAAGUUAGUGUUAGAGAAAAAGAAAAAACAAAGGGCGGAAUUAAUCUCAGUUGACUUUAGAUGCCUAAAUCUGAAAAAAAGUGGCCUGAAGUUCAUUUAUAGCUAAUAGACAGAAAUAAGCUGAGAAUAUGACAUUGUUUAGCUGACCUAUAUUAGAUACCUACUUUUGAUCAGAUGAAAUAGACCUGGAAAUGCCAGUUUCUUUCUAGCAGCAACAACAGGAUUGUAGACAACUACUAGCUCAGACACAAUUUACUCUCUAUGGAUGGUUAAUCAGAUCUCACUUGGUUUUCUGUUAUUUAUGCCAGUGCUUUAAUAAGAAAAUCAUAUUGUUUAUAGCAAUUAAAUCUUCUCUAUAUUUGUGGGUUUUUUCUCAACAAUUGCACCUUUCGUUCCUUAUCCACAGGUUAAGUUUUUCAAGAAGGCUAUUCUUUUACACUUAAUAAGGGUAAAGCCUUCAAUAAUCUUUCAAGCAAGCCUUCUACUGAUCAGUGGCCAAACUGAUCAAGCCAGUAUCUUACUGAAUCUACACAGAUCAUUUCCUUCUGCAUCUCCUUCUCCCUUUCUAGCAAGCAAGAAUAAAAAGAACACUGGUCACAUAAAUGAAAAACCCUUUCAGAAGAAUUUUUGUGACCAUUUGUUAAACAGCCAAAUCUUAUCUUUAAAAAUAUUAGCAGAAUCAGAAACAGUUUUCUUCAUAAGAAAGAAAGAAAAAAAACCCCACAUUUGGAAACAGCUUCUUAAUAAAAUAAACACCAAAUUAAUUUCACAAGAGGCCCUUUCUGUGUAAAGCUGCCUCUUUCGCUGUGGUGCUGGUGAUAAGUAUUCUUUUAACAUGGAAAUUACCACUGUGGAACUGCCAGUAUGCAAUCUCAGAUCACUCUUUUGGCUUUGAAAUUCAAACCUAAUAGAAAUCCUGCCAAGUUAUUCAAUGCUAGAAUCCAAGAAAACUUAGCCCCAUGUUACGCUAUUGGUAAUCAAGAGCUAUCCCUCGACACCUGAAUGGGUGGAUUCCACAAAGAAAAGAAAGGAGAAGUGUCUUUGCAACUUUGCUCAGUUUGCUGCCCAGCUGCAGCAAUUUUGUUCUAUAAGCAGUCAAAAAAGAAUAAAGUGAAGAAAGCAGCUGUAUGGGAUUAUAGGCACAUUUGCAAGAUGCUCCAUGUGUGGGUUUCCCCCUCCCUUUAAAUGCAGUGUGAGUGCAGUGUGACUAAUUAUACCAGAGAGGAAAGCAGAAGCUCUCUAGUUAAAGUA